ACCUACUCUUGACAUCCAGAGAACUUUCCAGAGAUGGAUUGGUGCCUUCGGGAACUCUGAGACAGGUGCUGCAUGGCUGUCGUCAGCUCGUGUUGUGAAAUGUUGGGUUAAGUCCCGCAACGAGCGCAACCCUUAUCCUUUGUUGCCAGCGGUUCGGCCGGGAACUCAAAGGAGACUGCCAGUGAUAAACUGGAGGAAGGUGGGGAUGACGUCAAGUCAUCAUGGCCCUUACGAGUAGGGCUACACACGUGCUACAAUGGCGCAUACAAAGAGAAGCGACCUCGCGAGAGCAAGCGGACCUCAUAAAGUGCGUCGUAGUCCGGAUUGGAGUCUGCAACUCGACUCCAUGAAGUCGGAAUCGCUAGUAAUCGUA
rnacentral:rRNA from 1 species